GGGCGGUUAGCUCAGUUAGUUGAGUGUAGCGCUAACAAUGCUAAGGUCAUGGGUUCAAUUCCCGUUCGGCCCC
rnacentral:tRNA from 1 species